rnacentral:lncRNA from 1 species
CGAGAUAUAAGGGCGACGAUUGGAAAUCGGCCGAUUGGUGCUACAGUCAAGGAUCGGCCAAUUAAUGCUACAGUCGAGGAUCGGCCGAUUGAUCCUUGGAGUUCCGCCUCGCCCGACCCCUGAGGCUUGGGAUCGGACGCACCCGACCCUCCAAGGGAGGAUCUCCGCCUCGCCCGACCCCUGAGGCUUGGGAUCGGACGCGCCCGACCCUCCAAGGGAGGAUCUCCGCCUCGCCCGACCCCUGAGGUUUGGGAUCGGACGCGCCCGACCCUCCAAGGGAGGAUCUCCGCCUCGUCCGACCUUAGUCCCCAGCGUCAGAAUGAGUCCGAGUCCUCGACAUGUGAGUCCUGAUCGGCUACCCCCUUGCCAAAGAGGUGAUCGGCCGAUU